rnacentral:rRNA from 1 species
GGAAUAUUGCACAAUGGGCGAAAGCCUGAUGCAGCGACGCCGCGUGAGGGAUGACGGCCUUCGGGUUGUAAACCUCUUUCAGUAGGGAACAAGGCCAGGCAUUGUCUGGUUGAGGGUACUUGCAGAAGAAGCGCCGGCUAACUACGUGCCAGCAGCCGCGGUAAUACGUAGGGCGCAAGCGUUAUCCGGAAUUAUUGGGCGUAAAGAGCUCGUAGGCGGUUUGUCGCGUCUGCCGUGAAAGUCCGGGGCUCAACUCCGGAUCUGCGGUGGGUACGGGCAGACUAGAGUGAUGUAGGGGAGACUGGAAUUCCUGGUGUAGCGGUGAAAUGCGCAGAUAUCAGGAGGAACACCGAUGGCGAAGGCAGGUCUCUGGGCAUUAACUGACGCUGAGGAGCGAAAGCAUGGGGAGCGAACAGGAUUAGAUACCCCAG